CCUACGGGUGGCAGCAGUGAGGAAUAUUGGUCAAUGGGCGAAAUCCUGAACCAGCCAUGCCGCGUGCAGGAAGACGGCUCUACGAGUUGUAAACUGCUUUUGUAGGGGAGUAAAAUGCCUUACGUGUAGGGUAUUGAUAGUACCCUAAGAAUAAGGAUCGGCUAACUCCGUGCCAGCAGCCGCGGUAAUACGGAGGAUCCGAGCGUUAUCCGGAUUUAUUGGGUUUAAAGGGUGCGGAGGGUGGAUGAGAAGGUAGCGGGGAAAUAGCGAGGCUCAACCCCGGGAUUGCCGUUGAUACUGUAGGCCUAGAGUGCGCGAGCAGCAUGCGGAAUGCGUGGUGUAGCGGUGAAAUGCAUAGAUAUUACGCAGAACACCGAUUGCGAAGGCAG
rnacentral:rRNA from 1 species